AGUUGAGGAUUCAUUGUUGUCACAAGGACAAUGAGGAAAGAAAGGACAGUAUGGAUCCUCUGGAACUAUAAUGGAUGUGCGAGUGAGCAGCCUGGCAAGAAUCAUUUUCAAGCACCCAGCUCCCCAGUGCCAGGGACCUCUCCCAUCAACAGCCUGUGGCUAUGAAUUCUUUAUCCCUGUGAGUUUGGCUGCCACAUGUGAUUCGGACAGAAGAUGGAGAGAAGCCCCAGGCUGCGGUGGCAGGUGCGCGCUUCCAGGGAGUACAGUGUUUGAAGCCGGAGGGACUGCUGUGGCCUGUGUCUUCAGGACAGCAAGCCUGCGUCCUGGGUGGCACUGGAGGAUGGAGACAAGCAGGAAGGAGACCACAUGCUUGUUGUUCAAGGAUCCUGUUCGUGGGCCCGAGGAGCUCUGCCAUUAAGCAGUGAGCUUCCUGCCUCCUUCUCACUGUCUACGCUGGACAUGACUGAAGUAGAAGCUUCUGGAAGCAGAUGGAAGGUAAGUCCCAGCUGAGGAAUGGUUUAUUCUGAUUUACUCCUAUUACUCAGAACAGGCUUCCAACAGAGGAGCUAAUCCUCAGCAUGCCCCCUGCCCCUGGCUCCCUCUCCCACGUGCUCUGCCCCUCAUGUGGACUGGAUUUAAAGAUAGCUUUCAAAUACGACUGUAGGUUUCCAGACUCCCCACAGAGUUCUUAGCUGCACAUUAUCUGGCAUGUGCUCUGGGUCAUCAGUGUGCUUGUGCUCCCUCAAAAUUUAUAAGCAGAG